rnacentral:rRNA from 1 species
AAUCAACGCUGGCGGCGUGCCUAACACAUGCAAGUCGAACGCGAAAGCCCCUUCGGGGGCGAAGUAGAGUGGCGUCCGGGUGAGUAACACGUGGGUAAUCUACCUCCGGGUGGGGAAUAACUCGCCGAAAGGCGGGCUAAUACCGCAUAAUGCAGCGGCACCGAAUGGUGAUUAGUUGUUAAAGCGGGGGACCUUAGGGCCUCGCGUCUGGAGAGGAGCCUGCGGCAGAUUAGCUUGUUGGUAGGGAAUGGCCUACCAAGGCUGCGAUCUGUAGCUGGUCUGAGAGGACGGCCAGCCACACUGGCACUGACACACGGGCCAGACUCCUACGGGAGG